UCCUUGUUAGUAUAGUGGAUAGUAUCCCCACCUGUCACGCGGGAAACUGGAGUUCGAUUCCCCGACGGGGAG
rnacentral:tRNA from 1 species